ACCAGUCAUCAGUGAAAAUGUGGUCAUUUACUGUUUAGGAGCAAUGAUCCCACUGCUUUUUAUCAUCUUAGUAGUGAUUGUUAUUUGUUAUCAGAAGAAACUUAAACAAGCAUCACAAACUGAAGAUGAAAGCACUAAAUGGGAGAACAGAGUGAACUCAAAUAAUUCAACAGUUAUUUAUCAAGCCGUAAAAAGUUCUGG